UACGUAGGUGGCGAGCGUUGUCCGGAUUUACUGGGCGUAAAGAGCGCGCAGGCGGUCGUUCAAGUCGAGUGUGAAAGCCCCCGGCUCAACUGGGGAGGGUCAUUCGAUACUGAUCGACUUGAAGGCAGGAGAGGGAAGCGGAAUUCCCGGUGUAGUGGUGAAAUGCGUAGAUAUCGGGAGGAACACCAGUGGCGAAGGCGGCUCACUGGCCCGGUACUGACGCUGAGGUGCGAAAGCGUGGGGAGCAAACAGG
rnacentral:rRNA from 1 species